CUUAUAAAGCGAUAAAAAAAAUCAAUUUAUUACAUGCAAAAGUGAAAAAAUAUGGCUCAUAUUCUCAUGUUUACUUAUGUUUUGAUCAUUUUUCUUUUUUCAUUUAGAAGUAAAUUUUCAUGUAAGACAAUAUUUAAUUGUCCAGCCCUUGUAUAUCAUCAACAUGCGAGUUGCCUUGAUGGUUUUUGUUGGUACGAGGAAAAGUUUGAGGAUGAAUGAUGCAGAAGGAUGUUCUUUCUUUAUUACUAUUCUGCUGCAGAUUGUGUUUUCUUUUCUCUUUGCUAAUAUCCGUUCUGUGUUGAUAACAUAAAGCAACCACUGCCUUCUUCUUCUUCUUCUUGUUAUGAUCUUUUCUUAAAAUAUAUUUUUAAUGUUAAUUUUUACAUUGUAAUUUGAUAAUUUAUUGAAAUAGCGUAGUAUCUGGAAAACCAAAAAGGGAUGAUUGAAUUGAUGUUGCGACAUGCUCUGAUGCAAAACUAAUGUGUUUUUUUUUUUUUUUUCUUCUUCUGAGGAAUUUAAAACUAAUGUAUUGGUCUUGGAUAAUUGAUAAUGAAAAUGUGACGUGGCAGUGGUAUGAA